GAUGAACGCUGGCGGCGUGCCUAAUACAUGCAAGUCGAGCGAACGGACGAGAAGCUUUCUUCUCUGAUGUUAGCGGCGGACGGGUGAGUAACACGUGGAUAACCUACCUAUAAGACUGGGAUAACUUCGGGAAACCGGAGCUAAUACCGGAUAAUAUUUUGAACCGCAUGGUUCAAAAGUGAAAGACGGUCUUGCUGUCACUUAUAGAUGGAUCCGCGCUGCAUUAGCUAGUUGGUAAGGUAACGGCUUACCAAGGCAACGAUGCAUAGCCGACCUGAGAGGGUGAUCGGCCACACUGGAACUGAGACACGGUCCAGACUCCUACGGGAGGCAGCAGUAGGGAAUCUUCCGCAAUGGGCGAAAGCCUGACGGAGCAACGCCGCGUGAGUGAUGAAGGUCUUCGGAUCGUAAAACUCUGUUAUUAGGGAAGAACAUAUGUGUAAGUAACUGUGCACAUCUUGACGUUACCUAAUCAGAAAGCCACGGCUAACUACGUG
rnacentral:rRNA from 1 species